AAUAAAAAAUUAGGAACUUCGUAUAAUCCCUAUAAUAUGGUUAGGGAGUCUCUACCAAGAACCAAUAAUUCUUGAUUACGAAGGAAAUAAG
rnacentral:ncRNA from 1 species